UCCCGCCCGGGUCGGACAUGUUACGUCGCUCCGAGCCCCCACCACGCCGCGCACCCGAAAACGUUCCCGAUAAAACAUUCGCUAACAUAAUCAAGUGUCUGUUGGAAUAAUAUCUGUUACCUACAAAGUGUAUGUGAAUGUUGAGAAUUCAGUUUGAGUUACAUUAUAACCACAAUUGAAUACGAUCCUAUUGGAAACGGUACGAAAGUGAGAACUGUUUGUGAACUGUGCGCGGUUUAACUAAUGAAUUAGAAAAAUAAUCGUGUCAACUGACGUUUCGAAAGUGCAUCGAGUUUGAACACACAGCGUGAGACGGCGCCGGCGCAACCUCAGUUCGUUUGCGGCUAACAGUAAGCCGAGAUACGCGAGGCUGUCGCAAAUCUAACUCGCAUGGUGCAAUACGUCUAACAUGCCUCACGUGCGCGGCCUUGGAUCGAUAUCUGGCAGUGAUUGAGUGAUUCUUAUGAGACUUAUGAUGUGCGAAAGGGGCGUGCGGCAAGGGACUGCGUAAGGCCCGUGCCGUAUAAAGCGCGUGUCGAAGUGCAUGCGUGGCGGCGAGAAUGCGGGCCUCGCGGGGCGCUGAGCAGUGACGGCGCCCGCGCGGCUGCCA